rnacentral:rRNA from 1 species
UACGGAGGGUGCAAGCGUUAUCCGGAUUCACUGGGUUUAAAGGGUGCGUAGGAGGGCAGGUAAGUCAGUGGUGAAAUCCCCGAGCUUAACUUGGGAACUGCCGUUGAUACUAUCUGUCUUGAAUAUUGUGGAGGUAAGCGGAAUAUGUCAUGUAGCGGUGAAAUGCUUAGAUAUGACAUAGAACACCGAUUGCGAAGGCAGCUCACUACGCGGUCAUUGACGCUGAGGCACGAAAGCGUGGGGAGCAAACAGG